UACGGAGGGUGCGAGCGUUGUCCGGAAUCACUGGGCGUAAAGGGCGCGUAGGCGGCCUGAUAAGUAGGGGGUGAAAUCCUGCGGCUUAACCGCAGGGCUGCCUUCUAAACUGUCAGGCUAGAGCACGGUAGAGGCAGAUGGAAUUCCCGGUGUAGCGGUGGAAUGCGUAGAGAUCGGGAAGAACGCCAAGGGCGAAGGCACUCUGCUAGGCCUGAUUUCGCGACUGACACUCAGGGACGAGAGCCAGGGGAGCGAAUGGG
rnacentral:rRNA from 1 species